AGGGCAUCCUUUUAUUGAAACUUCUUAGUAUCUCAGUGUAGACUUCACCAACCAAGAUCAGUGAGAUUCAUUUACCCAUGCUGCAAGUAUGAUGCUUUAAAAGCAAGUAAAGAAUCUACUGUUUAUGGUCUUUACUGCAAACAUUUCAGGAUCUUGUACUCCGGCAUGUUACAUCCUCUAGGAACACCCACUUCUGAUUUACUGGACUCAAAAUGAGACAGUUUAUCUUAAAGGGAAAAUAAAAAUAAUAGUAAUAAAAAAGCAAAGUGCAGAGGCCAGAGAAACAAUUUACCCAGUUGAAUUAUGGACAUUUCUUCUCCAUUCUGACAAAGGAUGAAGUAUCCAACAUAUUGAUUGUACUGUCACUAUAGGAGACUUCCCUGUCAGGUUAAAAGCACAGCAGGGUCUUAAACUCUUUGGAGAUUCAAUAUUAGGAAUCAAAAGUACUGAAGACACGACCCCUGGCUCAAAUGGAAGCUGAUCAGUGUUGCAGCACAGCGUUCCCAUGAAUAGCUGGCUGUAGGUGUGCCUUACCUUCACUCAUGCAAACAACUGGAAGGUCUCCCAGAGCACAAUAUUAGCACAGGGCAAAAACAAAAAAAAACCAAAAACAAAACAAAACCUAAUUAAAGAGUUUAUGGAAGGUGAAAACAGAGGGUGAGCACAGUGCAGGGACACAUUUCUCUUUCAUGCAGGCCACACAGUGUUCACACUCAGCAUCUCACCCAGACUUACAGCCUUAUCCAGAUUUCAGAGGGAAGACUGAACACCAAAGCUCUGUUAUUGCUACAGCUCUGAUGGAUGUGUUACAGUAUGUCACCAGCAGCCUGACAGUCCUGUUCCCUACAGGCAUCCCAUCUUCCAGCACCCAAAGGGUGAAAGGCAGCUGCCAUUCGCCCCAACAGCAGCUGGAGAAGCCACAGCAAAAGAGUGUGUAAAGACACUGUGUGAAGAGUGUCAAAAGUGAAAGCCUCAGGGGCGAAGAGGGAAAGAAAUGACGUCACUGUAAUGGAAGCCUUUUCUACUUGUCUGUCUGUCUGUCAGCAACGACUUCUGAAUCAAUAAAUACCAGUCAGAAUGCACAAUUCCUGCUGACCUGCAGUCCCCCCUUCAUCUCUGGAGAAAAUAAACACGGGUUGUGGGUGCUGAGCAGCUCUGCCUUCUUCAGAGCUUCCAUUGUAUUUGUGUUUGUGGUGUUUCAGCCAGCAGCACCAGGCAGCGUUCAUUUGGUAGUCCCAGGAACUUGGAGGAAUUCCCCGGUUAUUAUGAGAUUAUCCCUUCACUGCAAAAUAAACGAUUCUUCACCAAUUCCAUCUCAGGGGUGUUCUCUCACAGAUGUCUGGGAGUCAGGAGGGGUCAGGACAGGAGGGACUUGACUCG
ensembl:lncRNA